AAAAAAUAUUCUAUAUAAUAUUCUUUUUAUAAAAAAGUAUUUUAAAUAUGAAUUUAAAACACCUUCCUACCACAACUAAACAUUUUGUGGGUUCAUCAGCCCUUAUUUAUUAAAUUUAAAGUUUCUUCUCUUUCUGCAUUUUCCACAUUCUAUUUUCCAUUUGAAAAUGAAAUGGAAUUAAAUAGGGAACAUAGAAAACUUCCAUAAAUCUAGACAGGCCUAGACCAGGCCCACUUUGGGUCUACAGUGGCCUGCUUGGCUCACUCCCAACUGGUCCAGCGCGAUGGAGAAUUAAUCGAAACAACCAAGCCUAAAUGUGAAUACUUUUUGAAAAAUAUUUAUAUACUAUUGCAGGCAUCAUUCCAUAUUAGAAGUCCAUUGGAGUCAUAAAAAUUCAACGACUCAGAUUACUUUUGAAAUAUUUUAGUGUCGAGAUUUUAAAAUCAUGGUAGAUACAGACGCAGCCGGUUUCAUUAAAAGCAUAUGUAGAAAGACACCAUGGUCAACUGAUUGGGACAUGGUUUGAGAUGAAAAAGCUACGCAGAAAGGCAUACAACAGGAGACCAGAGCUCCAGUCUCUAUCUUUGUUAAUGGAGAAGAGGGUCCAAGGUGUUUCAAACUUAGAAGACAAUAUGAACAUGCAGGAGUUGAAGACGACUGGUAAUAGUGGAGGACCCUACUUAGACCUCCACCUGCAUCUGCUGCUCAUUUCCUUACUACCAUUGGUAGACCAUCUUUUUUUCUUCUUCUUUCUUCCUUUUGUAGCAUUAAUAUUAGAUAAGGAGCCAUGUCUCGAUAUGCGAAUCAGGGUGGUCCAAUAAAAGCUAAUCUAGGGGCUCUCACACGGUCCUAUGUUGGACGUUUCCCAAGCUGUCUAAUCCACUUCUGGCCUUGUUUUUCUUGGCAGUAGCUUAUUCUACUCAUAUCAAAAGUCAUUCUAUAUUUAGUUUUUUUACAACUAUCACCAACUAAUCCCAGAUGGUUCAUCUUAGAUUACAUGUAUUUUUGGGUCCCUCGUAACUGCAGAGGUAACAAUCAGAUCGUUACGUAUAUUAUUUUUA